AUUGAACGCUGGCGGCAGGCCUAACACAUGCAAGUCGAACGCGUGGCGGACGGGUGUGUAAUGUCUGGGAAACUGCCCGAGGGAGGGGGAUAACUACUGGAAACGGUGGCUAAUACCGCGUACGCUCUGGUAUGCCCAGAUGGGGUUAGCUAGUAGGUGGGGUAACGGCUCACCUAGGCGACGAUCCCUAGCUGGUCUGAGAGGAUGACCAGCCACACUGGAACUGAGACACGGUCCAGACUCCUACGGGAGGCAGCAGUGGGGAAUAUUGCACAAUGGGCGCAAGCCUGAUGCAGCCAUGCCGCGUGUAUGAAGAAGGCCUUCGGGUUGUAAAGUACUUUCAGCGAGGAGGCGUUACUCGCAGAAGAAGCACCGGCUAACUCCGUGCCAGCAGCCGCGGUAAUAC
rnacentral:rRNA from 1 species